rnacentral:rRNA from 1 species
CCGCAACGGGAGGAGCGUGCGGUUCAAUUGGAUUCAACGCUGAAAAACUCACCAGGAGCGACGGAUAUAUGAAGGUCAAGCUGAUGACUUUACCUGAUUUUCCGAGAGGUGGUGCAUGGCCGUCGUCAGUUCGUACCGUAAGGCGUUCUCUUAAGUGAGAUAACGAACGAGACCCUCACCUUUAAUUGCUAGUCUCUUCUCCGGAGGAGGCGCACAUUAAAGGGACCGCUGGCGCUAAGCCAGAGGAAGGUGAGGUCAACGGUAGGUCCGUAUGCCCCGAAUCUCCUGGGCAACACGCGCGCUACAAAGGACGGGACAAUGGGCUUCCACACCGAAAGGUGGAGACAAUCCCGAAACCCGCCCAUAGUUCGGAUUGUGGGCUGUAACUCGCCCACAUGAAGCUGGAUUCCGUAGUAAUCGCCUGUCAACAUCAGGCGGUGAAUAUGCCCCUGCUCCUU